CCCUGGGUUCUUGCCUUGCAUUGAUUUACAUGUGCUCUUUCGUCAUUCAAAGUCUGCUCCAUUCAAGACCAUUAUCCCCAAAUUGGUUUAUUGGGGUUCCCUCAUCCAUUUUGCCUCUUAUGCUUUAGUAUCCUAAUUCUAUUCCAGCUCUAACAGAUUCCUUCUCUAUCCUCUUGUCCCAUCUAUCUGUCUAUGAUAGCCAUUACUGUAAUUAUAGACUAAUUAAUCAAACACAACUUGUAGAUCUG